UACGUAGGGGGCAAGCGUUGUCCGGAUUCAUUGGGCGUAAAGAGCGUGUAGGCGGCCAGGUAGGUCGGUUGUGAAAACUGGAGGCUCAACCUUCAGAGGUCGACCGAAACCAUCUGGCUAGAGUCCGGGAGAGGAGAGUGGAAUUCCUGGUGUAGCGGUGAAAUGCGCAGAUAUCAGGAAGAACACCCGUGGCGAAAGCGGCUCUCUGGACUGCAACUGACACUGAGAAACGAAGGCCAGGGUAGCAAACGGG
rnacentral:rRNA from 1 species